CCUGUGUUGGGAUCGCCGGCGAGGCCGACCAGCGAUGUGCCGGAACCGUGGGCCACCCGCGGCCCGCCUUUUCCGGCCAGACAGAACGCGCGCGGCCCCACCCGUCUGCUUAGAGCGAGGAGGGGCGGAAGUGGAGGAAAGAAGGCGGGACCCGGCGAAACCGGUUGCCGGCUGCCGCCCUCACUUUGCCCGGCCUGGGUAGCGUGACGUCAGGCGUCCCACUUGGCUGGGAAGCCAGAGCAGGGCAUGCAGCGCUUAAUAAACACCUUUGAUCGGUCUGCAGAAAUGUGCUUUUUCUUCUAGACGAAACAUACCUCAAGGCAAUCAACGCACUGGAUGUCCUCACCUCUUAUCCCUUUUUGAUAUGAACUGCUUCCACAACAAAAGGUACAACAACAAAGGGGGUGGCCUCACUGGUCCCCUCCAGAACUCCAUCUGAUGCAUAAAUAAAGAACUGCAGAAAUGAAGAGCCUUUGGAACAGGAAGCACACUCAUGGGGGUUCAGCUUGCCUCACUGCCUGAGGGCCGCAAAUGCUAAUAAACUCACACCCACUACCUUUCCCAA